ensembl:lncRNA
GGUGAAGGUAUUGGUAUUAUUAAAUGCCUGUGAAUGAGGUGAAGGUAUUGUUGUUAUUAAAUGCCUGUGAAUGAGGUGAAGAUAUUGGUAUUAUUAAAUGCCUGUGAAUGAGGUGAAGGUAUUGGUAUUAUUAAAUGCCUGUGAAUGAGGUGAAGGUAUUGGUGUUAUUAAAUGCCUGUGAAUGAGGUGGAGGUAUUGGUAUUAUUAAAUGCCUGUGAAUGAGCUGAAGGUAUUGGUGUUAUUAAAUGCCUGUGAAUGAGGUGAAGGUAUUGGUAUUACUAAAUGCCUGUGAAUGAGGUGAAGGUAUUGGUGUUAUUAAAUGCCUGUGAAUGAGGUGAAGAUAUUGGUAUUAUUAAAUGCCUGUGAAUGAGGUGAAUGUAUUGGUGUUAUUAAAUGCCUGUGAAUGAGGUGAAGGUAUUGGUGUUAUUAAAUGCCUGUGAAUGAGGUGAAGGUAUUGGUGUUAUUAAAUGCCUGGGAAUGAGGUGAAGGUAUUGGUGUUAUUAAAUGCCUGUGAAUGAGGUGAAGGUAUUGGUGUUAUUAAAUGCCUGGGAAUGAGGUGAAGGUAUUGGUGUUAUUAAAUGCCUGUGAAUGAGGUGAAGGUAUUGGUGUUAUUAAAUGACUGGGAAUGAGGUGAAGGUAUUGGUAUAACGUUUUUAUGAAGUGAUGAACCAGCUUUGAUUUUCAAUGUUUUUGCUUGUUUUUUCCCUACAACCUCUCUUUCUUCAGUAAGUUGCUUUCCUCUUUCUCUCUCUCUCUCUUUCUUUCUUUCUCUCUUUCUUUCUUUCUCUCUUUCUUUCUUUCUUUCUGUUGUUGUAUGUGCCUCAGUACAUGCGCUUGAUUACGUGUGUGUGUGUGUGUGUGUGUGUGUGUGUGUGUGUGUGUGUGUGUGUGUGUGUGUGUGUGUGUGUGUGUGUGUGUGUGUGUGUGUGUGUGUGUGUGUGUGUGUGUGUGUGUGUGUGUGUGUGUGUGUGUGUGUGUGGAAAAGAAAGCGCUAAAGAGAGAACUGUUGACUGAUGUUCUGUAUUGUAGUGCUGUAUGUAAAUAACUUACCUCCCUCUAGCAGACUUUUAAUAAAAGUGUACAAGAUGGCUGAAAGUACAAACCUUUUGGGUGACAUCUUUGAUUUGAAGGUUCCCUGCUAAAAAAAAUGUUUUUUCAAUGAUAGGCCACAUAUGUGCAAGCUUGUAAUUUGUUGAAAGAGUGCACACCUUUUUUUAGCAGGGAACCUUCAAAUCAAAGAUGCACACCUAAAGUAGUACUAUUUUUACAGCAAGUUGAUGAAUUUCCUUUCACUUUAAUUUGGUAAAAGACCGGCAUACACACUUGUUUUUGUUACACAACUAAUGGUAAUGACAUGAGUGGCUAUUACAUAAGCACAACAUCAUGACUCUCUACUACAUUUUUACAAGUUAUAAUUUGUCUUCUUUGGCAACCCUUUAUUUCACGUGUUUCCAAGAGAAAAUUAUAACACAACCAUUUCUAGAACUGUACAGAUUGUGAAAAUGUAUAUAUGACUAAACAUUUCAGUCACUCUUUAAUUUUUGUAUGGGAAGAAAUGACAUGUGUUAAAGAAUAAUAAAAAAUUUGAUUAAAUAUUUAAUAAUAUUUAAAAAGAGGAUAAUUAAACACAGUCGAUGUGAAAAUAAGUGCUAAGAAAUAUUCUUCUUCUGUCUCUUUGUACAAAACAAAGUGUUGAGUAUUAAUAAAAAACAUGAAAUCAUGUCAUUUGUGAAAUUCCUAUGUUUUCUUAUUUUUCCCCUCUAAACAGAUUUCAACAUUCAUUCAUGGUCUCUCAUUUGUCUAUAUAUUGUAUAUAUAUAUAUUGGAAUUAUCUGGCUCGAAGGACCAAUACCUUAAAGGGUCAUUCAGCAGUUAAAACAAUAGAAAAGUGUCCUCCCCACCCCUGUUUUGUUUUUUAGAUUAUUUUAUAAUGGGACUGGAGAAUUGUAACCACUUUCAACUUCCUAGACAGAGCUAUGGAUGGAUGCAAGGACUUACCAGCCAUGAUAUCAAUAUUAUAGUUGUAACCAUGUUUUGACUCUAUAUAGUGUUUGUUUAAAUUGAAUUAGUUUACAAACAUUGGAGUAAAACAAGCUUAUAUUUUGGCUUCUGGUGGGGUACAACAGCUCAUGAGGCAUUUAUGACUUAUGUUCUUCAAGAAUCAAUGGGUACAUAUCAAGUCCAAAAAAUGUAUGUAUUAACUGCAGAUUGCCCCUUUAAAGGUGCAGGGCCUUUCCAAAGUGUUCUCAGAUUCAUCUGUCAUUUAAAUGGCCAGUGUCACUCCUCCUCUUUAAUCCUGUUGCUGUAUUGUCACUUUCAUCCAGGACACCUGUCCAUCCUCCCGUUCCGCUCAACCCCUUUCAUCUUGUCUCUCCGUAGCCCUCUCCUUUUUCCGCACUUGCGUAUCUUUCUGGACCAGGACAGACGGAGAGGGAGGUGACGAAUGACACACUGAUAAAAAGUGAACCAGUAGGAUAUUGUAUACAGAAUUUGAAAGACUCCAAAUCCUCCUCCUGAGACUCUCUCUCUGCCUCUCU